rnacentral:rRNA from 1 species
AUUGAAAAAAGAUAUAUAAAAUAAAAUAUUACUUUAAGGAUCUAAAACUUAUAUAUGGGAAGAUUUAAUAAAUAUGAAAAUAUUUAAUCUAAACAUGAAAAUGAGGAAAAAGAAUAAGUGAAAUGAAACAUCUGAGUAACUUAGGAAUAAACCAACAGGGAUUAUAAGAGUAACGGUGAGUGAAAUUAUAAAAGUCUAUAAGUAAUAUUAAGAAAUAUUGAAUAAAGUAGUAUCUACUACUAAGACUAAAAAGAAUAUAUAAGAUAAAAGUACCGUAAGGGAAAAAGAGUAAAUAGAGUAAUAAAGAGCAAUUAUAGUAUAAUGUACCUCUUGUAUAAUGGGCCAGUGAGUUAUAAAUAUUAGCAAAAUAAAUAAAUUAAAAAUAAUAUGAGUUUAAACAAUCAUAAGUUAAUAUUUAUAGGCCCGAAAGUAAACGAUCUAUACAUGUCCAAGAAUAUUUAUAUAAAAUAUAUAUAAAUAUGUCUGAAUAGGUAGAUGUUGCAAUAUCUUCUAAAGAGAUGUGUAUCGAAGUGAAAGACAAAUCUGGUUUACAGAUAGCUGGUUUUCUGCGAAAUAUAUAUUAGUAUAGCCUUUACAAAAUGUAAAAAUUGGUACAGCACUAAAUCAUGUUUGGGGGAUUAUAUUCUAAUUUUAUCAUCAUUUUUUAACCUCGGAAUCAAUAUACCAUAUAUGUAAGGAGUCAGAUUUAUUGCGAUAAGGUAGUAGAUCUAAAAGGAAACAACCUAGAUUAUUUAAUGAAUGUCCCAUAUUAUAUAUUAAGUGAACAUAAUCUGAAUGAGUUAUUAUAUAACAUAUAUAUUUUAUAAAUAUAUAGAUUAGACAUUUAGUCAGUGGGUUUGACAAUAACCAUCUGUUAAUGAACAUGUAACAAUGCACUAAAUGAAGAAGAUAUCCUAUUUUAAUAAGAUAGGGUAUUUUCAUAUCAAUAAUUUAGAUAAAAUAUACGGGUCUAAAUAUAUAACAUUAAUAAUAAAUAUAUUUUAUAAAUAUAAAUAUAAAAUAUAUGGUAGCAGAAUAUAUAAUGAAAUAUAAAUAAAUAAAAAUUAUAUAGAAUAUGCUGGCUUGAGUAACGAUAGGUAAUAUAAGAUUACCCUCUAUAUCAUAAGGUUUUACAAUAAACGAACGGUCCCUAAGAUUAAGAAUAUAGAAAUAUAGUAAUUAAUGGGAGAUAAUACAGGAAAAGUAUAAUAAACCGUACUGAAGACCGACACAGGUAUGAUAAAGGAGAAUGAGCAAAUUGUAGUAAAUGAACUCGGCAAAUCGAUUAAAAAAUAAAUAAUGUGCGACUGUUUACCAAAAACAUAGCUUAUUGCAUAUUAGUAAUAAUAAGUAUAAUAAGUGAUAUCUGCCCGGUGUUAGUUAAUAAAUAAUAAUUGUUAUUAAGCGAUUAUUAUAUAAAGAACCUAUAAACGGCGGUCUUAACGUGAGGAUCCGAAGGUAGCGAAAUUCAUUGGCAUAUAAUUGAUGUCCUGCAUGAAUGAAUAAACGAUGCAAUAACUGUAUCUAUUACAAGCUCAGUGAAAUAGCAAUUGCGGUGAAGAUGCCGUAUACCCGUAGAUUGACAAAAAGACCCUAUGCAGCUUUACUAUAUCUUGUUUUUGAUUCUUAUUAUUUUUAAUUAUAAGUUAUUAUUUUAUUUACUUAUAUAAUAUAAUAAUUAUCUUAUCUAAAUUUAUAUCUUAAUUAGAUAUAUUAAUUCAUAUAUUAUUAUAUGAAUUUAAUUAGAAACAGAAAUUAGAAGUUAGUUUCGAUGGGGCGUCGACAUCAGCGAAAGCAUCUGAUGUGUCUAUUUAAUAUUACUUCAUAUUUAUUGAAGUUUAUUAUUAUAAAUAAUUUAUAUUAUUUAAUAGAAAAUUACGUACAAAUAAAUCUAUAUGGCAAAUAGAUAUAAUAUAAUAAAGUUUAACUUUAUUAUUACAAAUAAUGUAAGGAUAAUAACAUAAUUGUGCGAUGAUAAUGACACUAACAAGUGAAAUUAGUACUUACGUAGAGUAUAGUGAACAGACAUAAUCUAAAGAUAAGGAUGUCGAUAACGGAUUAAAGUUACGCUAGGGAUAACAGGGUAAUACCGCGUGAGAGUUGAUAUCGUCAGCGGUGUUUGCCACCUCGAUGUCGUCUAGACUCGUCCUCCUGGUAGUAGCAGCUAGGAAGGGUAAGACUGUUCGUCUUCUAAGGAGUUACUUGAGAUGGGUUAAUUACGACGUGAGUCAGUAAUGAUUUUAUCAUCUAUGGGUUUUUUUCUUAUUUGUUGCUUUGCGUGUACGAAAGGAUAAUUAAGUGCCUUCCUAUGGUUUUUUGUAUAUAUAUAUAUUUAUAUUAUAUACAUAUUAGCUAAGAAGUUUGAGAUUACAUAUUGAUAGACUAUUAAAUAUUAAAUCCUACAAAUAAGAUUAUAACAUAGUAGACUACUAUGUA